CCCUAGCCAUCAAUCCUCCAGGUUC
rnacentral:miRNA from 1 species